rnacentral:sRNA from 1 species
AGAAAACGAAAUACAUUAUUAAUUUCCAAAAAUAAUAACCAAUCAAAAUCAACAUAUAAGAUUUGAUAUCUAAAUUUUAAUUAAUUUAAUUUAAUUAGAAAAACGAAAUACAUUAUUAAUUUCCAAAAAACUAACCAAUUAAAAUCAACAAAUUAUAUUUGGUAUCUAAAUUAUCAUAUUAAUUUUUUUUAUUAAUUAUUAUAGUUCACUUCUCAUCUUUAUAUGAUUCUAUUUUUACGAAAAAAUAAUAUCAUCAUUAUAAAAAAAUAAUUAGAGUUUUUUCGCAUAUGCCAUAAUUUGAAUUUUAAAAACGAAUAUAAACUGUUUAAUACAUGAAAUAAUAUUAUAACGGGUGAAAAAUAGAUUUAAGAAAACUUUCUACUGAGUAACGGGACAUAAAUUUGAAAUAUUUGU